rnacentral:rRNA from 1 species
UGGGGAAUUUUGGACAAUGGGCGCAAGCCUGAUCCAGCCAUUCCGCGUGAGUGAAGAAGGCCUUCGGGUUGUAAAGCUCUUUCGGCAGGGAAGAAAAGGUACGGGCGAAUAACUCGUAUUGAUGACGGUACCUGAAGAAGAAGCACCGGCUAACUACGUGCCAGCAGCCGCGGUAAUACGUAGGGUGCGAGCGUUAAUCGGAAUUACUGGGCGUAAAGCGUGCGCAGGCGGUUAUUUAAGACAGAUGUGAAAGCCCCGGGCUCAACCUGGGAACUGCGUUUGUGACUGGAUAGCUAGAGUGUGGCAGAGGGGGGUGGAAUUCCACGUGUAGCAGUGAAAUGCGUAGAGAUGUGGAGGAACACCGAUGGCGAAGGCAGCCCCCUGGGCCAGCACUGACGCUCAUGCACGAAAGCGUGGGGAGCAAACAGG